AGCGAACGCUGGCGGCAGGCUUAACACAUGCAAGUCGAACGCCCCGCAAGGGGAGUGGCAGACGGGUGAGUAACACGUGGGAACGUACCCUCUGGUUCGGAAUAACUUGGGGAAACUCAAGCUAAUACCGGAUAAGCCCUUAUGGGGAAGGGUUUACUGCCGAAGGAUCGGCCCGCGUCUGAUUAGCUAGUUGGUGAGGUAAUGGCUCACCAAUGCGACGAUCAGUAGCUGGUCUGAGAGGAUGAUCAGCCACACUGGGACUGAGACACGGCCCAGACUCCUACGGGAGGCAGCAGUGGGGAAUAGUGGACAAUGGGGGCAACCCUGAUCCAGCCAUGCCGCGUGAGUGAUGAGGGCCUUAGGGUUGUAAAGCUCUUUUACCCGGGACGAUAAUGACUGUACCGGGAGAAUAAGCCCCGGCUAACUUCGUGCCAGCAGCCGCGGUAA
rnacentral:rRNA from 1 species